rnacentral:tRNA from 1 species
AAAUAUGAAGCAAUAAAUUGCAUUUAGUUUCGACCUAGAAGUAUGGCUAUUACGCCCUUAUUUA